GGGGGUAUAGCUCAGUUGGUAGAGCAGCUGACUCUUAAUCAGUAGGUCGCAGGUUCGAAUCCUGCUGCCCCCACCA
rnacentral:tRNA from 2 species